rnacentral:misc_RNA from 1 species
UUCCAUCCAAACCAUAGAUUUUAUGAUUCAUGCUCAAAAUUGUCCAUCAAGUCUACUGUUAAUGGAGUCCACAUGAACUUUAAUGGAUCCAUCAGCAAGUCAACUUAGGUAAGUUAUUUGGGGUAUGGGUUCAAUGCUACAACAACAUUGAUACAACAGAAGAUGCAAGACAUACUUUCACAUUGACAAAAUGCUGCAUUAUGCAAUUUGAAACUCUGAUUCUUUUUCAAUUUUAAGAUGCAAUUUAAGAACCCGUAGACACCUUAAAGUUCAUCAUGGUAAUCGUCAU